UGCCCAGCCGUGUCAGAUUCGGUGCCCGUCCCCCCGGGGCAGGCACCGGCCCGGAAGGCUGCCAUAGAAACACUGGCCCAUGGGCCCUGGUCCCCUCUGCUGGGCCUUGGGGAUAAAUUUGGCUGCAGACACCA